UGGGGAAUAUUGGACAAUGGGCGCAAGCCUGAUCCAGCCAUGCCGCGUGUGUGAAGAAGGCCCUCGGGUUGUAAAGCACUUUCAGUGGGGAAGAAAGCCUCGCGGCUAAUAUCCGCGAGGAAGGACAUCACCCACAGAAGAAGCACCGGCUAACUCCGUGCCAGCAGCCGCGGUAAUACGGAGGGUGCGAGCGUUAAUCGGAAUUACUGGGCGUAAAGCGCGCGUAGGUGGCUUGAUAAGCCGGUUGUGAAAGCCCCGGGCUCAACCUGGGAACGGCAUCCGGAACUGUCAGGCUAGAGUGCAGGAGAGGAAGGUAGAAUUCCCGGUGUAGCGGUGAAAUGCGUAGAGAUCGGGAGGAAUACCAGUGGCGAAGGCGGCCUUCUGGACUGACACUGACACUGAGGUGCGAAAGCGUGGGGUAGCAAACAGGAUUAGAUACCC
rnacentral:rRNA from 1 species